rnacentral:misc_RNA from 1 species
CUCACUCUUGAACUCUUCCAGCAUUGUUUCAAUUUUUCAACAUUACAUAGCAUCAAAAUGAGCAAAGCUAUCUUUCUGUUUCCAUCUUUGCUUCCAAGCUACCAUCUUUAAUGAACUUUUCUAGUCAUUAGCACAGCACACACUGCAGUGUCUGGUAGUUUUACCGUCUACUUGAAAGAAAAUUGUUCACCUGGAGUGUACUAAAGAACAGAUCAACCUAACACAAUAUCCAGAUCCUCAUAUAGUUG